rnacentral:lncRNA from 1 species
CAAGCGUGUCUCUGUCAAGCUCAAUUAGCCUCUCACAUGCUAUAGUCAAGUAAACAGAGUCAAACAACUAAAUUCACGUGCCAUCGGCACAAUCUGAUGCAAAAACAGCAAUCUGGGUCUACCGUCAAUCUCAACGGCACCCGACAAUCCGGAACAGCCUAAACACUGCAGUAAAAAUACACUCAGCAUCUCAGCAUGAUCGUAAAUAUAUUCUACACUAUUCUGGAUAUCCACCGCCCACAAACUGCGGCGAUACAAACAAACUACAGCUUUUAGAACUAAAUCUGGUAGUUUGAUAAAAUGACGGUAUAGAAACACCAGUUUUCUCUUAAGUCAAAUCCAAGUCCAACAUGUAUCAUUU